CGGGUUAGUAAAGUGGACUAGUUGACUAGUUUGUUUGAUGCAAUACCUUUAUAUUGAGUACUCUCAUCUUCACCUCCCCACUUUAACACAACUAAUGUUAUUAUAUAUAGAGAUAUUGAUAGAUUUCUUUUGGGAAGAAAACUAAAACAUUUCUGUGUCAAAGUUAUCUUGGCAUUGGAGAAAGAAAAAAAAAAGAAUAGUCUUUGAAUCUCAAGACACAACGUGAGAUAUGAAGUGCGUGUUCAUCCAGUGUGUGGCUGAAAAUAUUAAGUAAUUUUACUAAAAUAAAACAAUAAUUCAGAUUAACAGCAAAAAAAUAACAUUGCUAAGAAGAGAAAGGAUCCAAUCUUGUUUAACGACUACCACUGCUUAAAUCAAUGAGUAUAUUUAUAGAAAUAAAUCACCUCUAACAUUUCACAUACUCUGUGACAUUAGAUAUCCAAAAUGAAAUAUUUAUACACGAGACAAUGUCGAACCAAAGUCUGAUUAAAUAUACAAGAUGAGCAGCUUCUGACAAAUAUGUAUCAUCAACGCAGGCGCGUCAGUUUAAGUGGAGCUUUGAUGGAUCUUUUUUUUUUUUCUACUUGAAACAGACUUAACCUCUCAGUAAACGUGUUGCAGCCUUCAAAGGUGAUGUCAUUUACGUUGGGUGGAGCUUUCGCAUCAUCAUUUUUGUGGUGCCCUGCGACUGGCUGGCAACCAAUUCAGGGUGAUCUCCGCCAACGGCCCCAAGACGGCUGGGAUGGGCUCCAGCAUUCCCGCGACCCUCAUGAGGAGAAGCGGACCCAUAAUGAAUGGUUUAAGUUUAGUGGCGGAGGAGGUUGAAGCUGCGGUCCUAAAGGUUCUACUUGCUGUACAAGGUGUCUUUUUGUGCUUUUUUUUUUUUAAAGAAAUUGGACCUGACCACCAUCUGUGACUGUGUACAAGGUAUUAUGUCAGUCUUAAAAGCAUUUAAAAGUCGUAAAGUGGACGUGCGUGUGAUGAACCGUGGAUUUGUGGGUACAAUAAGGCCAGGUGGGACAGUAUUAAGUACCGUAUUUCAUGUUAGAGAAAGAGAAAUGCAUUUGAAGCUGCUAUUUUAUCUCCUAGACUGCUCAUUGCAUUCAUGUGUUUUUGUAGAGAGACCAAUCACAAGCAUUGAACGGAGUACUGACUGACACUUUGACGUGUGGACUAACUCCACCUUUGGGUUUUAUUUUAUUUUCUUGUCUGCCUUUCAUCCAACUUUGUGCUGCUAAGCAUUAGGGCUAAGACAGGAAGUAGCUGAUGCAACGAAGGAAGGUUUUGUUCUUUUUAAAUUCCCGACACGUCCGAGGCCUCAUGUAGUAGGAUUAAACGUAUAUACAGUAUGUACAUAAAGUGGAGGAUGCUGUCUGCUUGAAAGAUUUGUUUUUAUUUAAACCAUCUACUACUCCAAGGGUAACGACAUGCUGUAUGUUCUAAAUAAAAACAAGUGCAUAACAAA